rnacentral:lncRNA from 1 species
AAUGUCACUGUAGUCUGGGACCUUCCCGACGUCCCCACAAUACAUCUUGUAUGGUUUUGUUUCAGUGAAACUUUAUGUUAAGUAUCUGAUAAAGGAGAACGUACAGGUGUGCGAAAUGUCCCCACUCAACACAGUUAAUUCAACACGUGUGAAAUGUCCCCACUAGGCAUAGUCUAUGUGACAGCAGACAGGUUGACAAAGCAGGACAAAAUAUGACCGUAGAAUCCUUUCUCGCUAGUUUGGUGUGUGGGGGAUGUAUUUGACCCAAGAGACAUGUCCUUUAGAAAAUGUAUCAAAAUAAUAUAAUAUUAUGCAGUGUUUACAUGAAAUUGACUGAUUUACUUUUUGUAUCAAAUUGCAGAUGACUACAUGUGCACCUGACACGCCCUGUGUGAGCUCCCAGCCUGUGCUCAUGUCAGAGCCACAGUGGGAUGAAGCUGCCUGGUUAGAGGACACUGGUCAACAGAUGACUACCAGUGAACCUGACACGCCCUGUGUGAGCUCCCAGUCUUUGCUCAUGUCAGAGCCACAAUGGGAUGAAGCUGCCUGGUUAGAGGACACUGGUCAACAGGUAAUUCAUGUCCAUCACUUAAUAUUUUCCUCUAGUGUCUUCUAGUCACCUUUGAUGUCUUCUGUUGUUUACUUUAAGCAGGUAAAUGAACAUAAUCUGAUAAUUAUGAGGGGAAUCUAUUAUGCAUCAGGUCUGCCAAACAGUUUUCUGUAAUGCUUGUAUAAGGCUAAUGAUUAAGGGAUAUGUAGGACACAUCUAAACCUUGUUGAGUAAUUUUCCCGGGGCAAAAUGUCACUGUAAUCUGGGACAUUCACGACGUCCCCACAAUGCACC